CCUUCGAUAGCUCAGUUGGUAGAGCGGUGGACUGUAGAGUGAUAUGUUAAGUGGAAAUCCAUAGGUCGCUGGUUCAAAUCCGGCUCGAAGGA
rnacentral:tRNA from 1 species